rnacentral:rRNA from 1 species
AUGGGGUUGCUGCUGCUGCUUCACGUCGUCCUGGUCGCGGCGGCGGCGGGAGCCCCAGCGGCGCAGGCGUGGGGCAAGGAGGGGCACUACAUGACGUGCAAGAUCGCCGAUGGUUUCCUGACGAAGGAGGCAACGGCGGGGGUGAAGGCUCUCCUCCCGUCGUCGGCCAACGGCGAGCUCGCGGAGGUGUGCUCCUGGGCGGACAGCCAGCGCUUCCGGUACCGGUGGUCCAGCCCCCUUCACUUCGCCGACACCCCAGAAGACUGCAAGUUCAGCUAUGCCAGGGACUGCCACGACACCAAGGGGAACAAGGACGCGUGUGUGGUUGGAGCCAUCAACAACUACACCGCCGCGCUCCAAGACUCCUCAAGCCCGUAUGAUCGGACGGAGAGCCUGAUGUUCCUGGCGCACUUCGUGGGCGACGUGCACCAGCCGCUGCACUGCGGCCACGUGGACGACCUCGGCGGCAACACCAUCCUCGUCCGCUGGUACAGGAGGAAGAGCAACCUGCACCACGUGUGGGACGUGGACGUCAUCGAACAGGCCAUGAAGGACUUGUACGGCAAGGACCAGGACGCCAUGGUCAAGGCCAUCCAGCGCAACAUCACCGAGGACUGGUCCAGGGAGGAGAAGCAGUGGGAGGCGUGCCGUAGCAAAACCAAGACCUGCGCUGACAAGUACGCUCAGGAGAGUGCGGCGCUCGCCUGCGACGCGUACAAGGGCGUCAAGCAGGACUCCACCUUAGGAGAUGAGUACUACUCCGAGGCGCUGCCGGUCGUUGAGAAGAGGAUCGCUCAGGGGGGCGUCAGGCUGGCGGCGAUCCUCAACCGGAUCUUCAGCGGGAACGGCAAGCUGCAGAGCAUCUGA